rnacentral:rRNA from 1 species
UACGGAGGGAGCUAGCGUUGUUCGGAAUUACUGGGCGUAAAGCGCACGUAGGCGGCUUUGUAAGUUAGAGGUGAAAGCCCGGGGCUCAACCCCGGAAUUGCCUUUAAGACUGCAUCGCUUGAAUCCGGGAGAGGUGAGUGGAAUUCCGAGUGUAAAGGUGAAAUUCGUAGAUAUUCGGAAGAACACCAGUGGCGAAGGCGGCUCACUGGACCGGUAUUGACGCUGAGGUGCGAAAGCGUGGGGAGCAAACAGG